AGCAAUUAAAGGUUUAAGAAGAUUAACAGAAGACAAAUUAGAAAUAACAAUAGAUUAAAAGAGUAAUUAGUGUCCGACACGUAUUUGUAAAUUAUAGUCAAAACUGUCACAGAGAAUAAAUAAUGAGAUAAAUAGAGUAAAUGCAUUUAAGACCUUUGUCCAAGAUUAUGACACAUAAUCCGUGUAAAACACUUAUGCCUGAAUUUACGAC
rnacentral:lncRNA from 1 species